rnacentral:lncRNA from 1 species
AUCUAGAUAACUCUGUCUCCAAAAGAGAUAAAUUAGUACUCACAAGCUGUUCUAGAUGACACAGACAGAUGGCUCUCACAAUACGAUUACAUUAAUGAAAAUAAAUGGAGGCAUCCAAUGCUAUAAGCGACAUUGUCGUCAAAUCCAUUCAGAAGUACAACAGACUCCAGAGCAUGUAUUUUUCAUUCCUUCAGGUUGGCAGCUAGCAGAUCCAUGGCAUUUUUCUUUCCCUUUAAAAUUAAAAGAACCGAAUUAGUCAUUGACAAAUAGUUUCUAACAACAAAUAGUUGAUUGUGAAUAUGUGUAGCACUUGGAGAAUAUCAAUGUAAGAAAUGAUAUGAGUUGGGG